AUCCAGCUGACGAGUCUUAAACAGGACGAAACGCGCGUCAAACUGGAU
rfam:Schistosoma mansoni strain Puerto Rico chromosome 1, complete genome